AGCAAUUAUACAGCGAAACUGCGAAUGGCUCAUUAUAUAAGUUAUCGUUUAUUUGAUAGUACCUUACUACUUGGAUAACCGUGGUAAUUCUAGAGCUAAUACAUGCUAAAAAUCCCGACUUCGGAAGGGAUGUAUUUAUUAGAUUAAAAACCAAUGCCCUCUGGGCUCUUUGGUGAUUCAUGAUAACUUCUCGAAUCGCACGGCCUUGCGCCGGCGAUGGUUCAUUCAAAUUUCUUCCCUAUCAACUUUCGAUGUUUGGGUAUUGGCCAAACAUGGUUGCAACGGGUAACGGAGGGUUAGGGCUCGACCCCGGAGAAGGAGCCUGAGAAACGGCUACUACAUCCAAGGAAGGCAGCAGGCGCGCAAAUUACCCAAUCCCGACACGGGGAGGUAGUGACAAUAAAUACUGAUACAGGGCUCUUUUGGGUCUUGUAAUUGGAAUGAGUACAAUUUAAAUCCCUUAACGAGGAACAAUUGGAGGGCAAGUCUGGUGCCAGCAGCCGCGGUAAUUCCAGCUCCAAUAGCGUAUAUUAAAGUUGUUGUGGUUAAAAAGCUCGUAGUUGAACCUUGGGCCUGGCUGGCCGGUCCGCCUCACCGCGUGUACUGGUCCGGCCGGGCCUUUCCCUCUGUGGAACCUCAUGCCCUUCACUGGGUGUGACGGGGAAACAGGACUUUUACUUUGAAAAAAUUAGAGUGCUCCAGGCAGGCCUAUGCUCGAAUACAUUAGCAUGGAAUAAUAAAAUAGGACGUGUGGUUCUAUUUUGUUGGUUUCUAGGACCGCCGUAAUGAUUAAUAGGGACAGUCGGGGGCAUCAGUAUUCAAUUGUCAGAGGUGAAAUUCUUGGAUUUAUUGAAGACUAACUACUGCGAAAGCAUUUGCCAAGGAUGUUUUCAUUAAUCAGGAACGAAAGUUAGGGGAUCGAAGACGAUCAGAUACCGUCGUAGUCUUAACCAUAAACUAUGCCGACUAGGGAUCGGACGAUGUUAUUUUUUGACGCGUUCGGCACCUUACGAGAAAUCAAAGUGCUUGGGCUCC
rnacentral:rRNA from 1 species